rnacentral:misc_RNA from 1 species
AUGGAGCAGCGUGCGUUUUCSUCUUGKUUAGUUUUGAAGGAUCMUUCCUUCMAAACAUGUCUCUAGCGAGACAGGAUUGUUCUUUGAAAACUAGAUAACAAUAAGUAAUACAUUCACAUUGAAUGCAAUGCAAAGUUCAUCACACAUAGUGAUUCUUUCUAAAGUAAGAAAUGGUUAAGUUAGAAAGGGCGCACGGUGGAUGCCUUGGCACUAGGAGC